GGUGGUGGUGGUGGUGGUGGUUGUGCCGGUACUGCUGGUAGUGGUGGUGGUGGACCGCGGUUCGAUAACCGACGAAUCGCAUCGUUGCAAACCGGCCUGGACCGCAUCGUCGGAUACGCGUGCUCUCUCUCCUAUCCUUCAAAAAACCGAAGGAGGAAAAGAAAGACAUCCUGGUAGUUCUUUACUCGUGGUCAAGGCGACACCUAAAGAAAGGAUCACUCGGACGACGAGAGUUCUGCCGGCUUAAUCGGCUCUCUACAAGCGCACAUCCUACGUGCAAAUACGAAGUAAUAAGAAACUUUGUCAAGAAAUUUCUUCAUCCGUCGUUCCUUUGGCCGAAUCA
rnacentral:lncRNA from 1 species